rnacentral:rRNA from 1 species
AGCGAACGCUGGCGGCAUGCUUAACACAUGCAAGUCGCGCGGGUGGAUUCGGACAUCUGCGGCGGACGGGUGGGUAUCGCGUAGGGAUGUAUCCAGAGGUGGGGAUCUACUUUGGGAAACUGGAGAUCAUACGGCAAGGGACCUGUGGGUCAAAGACUUAGGGCGCCUUAGGGGCAGCCGGCGUCCGAUUAGGUAGUUGGUGUGGUAAAGGCCUACCAAGCCUGCGAUCGGUAGCUUGUCUGCGAGGACGGUCAGCCACUCUGGGGCUGGGACGCGGACCAGACUCCUGCAGGAGGGAGCAGUGGGGGAUAUUGGACUAUCGGCGCGAGCCAGAACCAGCUAUGCCGCGUGAGUGAAGAAGUUCUGCAGGAUGUAAAGCCCUUUAGGCGGGGGCGGUGAUGACGGUACCCGCAGAAGAAGCCCCGGCUAACUUCGUG